UGCAGGGCUUCCUCUCGCAGUCGGAGGAGAGCGGCCUGGUGCCGGGCUCGCAGCUCUUCUUCGCGCAGACUUAUGGGCGCUGACAAGGGAUUCAAGGAUGGAGGUACCUGAGAAGAGUCCCCAUGCUCUGCAGAGAGGUGUUCAAAAAAAGGAAAAAAAGACCACAUUAAAGUCCUUAAAAAUAGCAGAGCAAUUCUUGUGUUGCGAAGACCUCGGAAAGACCACGUCGGGCCAGGCCCCUGUGAGAUGGAGAAGUCAUCAGUUCCCCUCGUGACAAGUCUGUGUCUGGAUAGCUCUCGGCCUCAGCAAGACCUUUGAGGAAAAGAUCAUAAAGUAAUAAAGAUCUCCU